rnacentral:rRNA from 1 species
GGCUACAGGACGAACGCUGGCGGCGCGCCUAACACAUGCAAGUCGAACGAGCAAAGAGGAGCUUGCUUCUCUGAGCGAGUGGUGAACGGGUGAGUAACGCGUGAGGAACCUGCCUCAAAGAGGGGGACAACAGUUGGAAACGACUGCUAAUACCGCAUAAGCCCACAGCUCGGCAUCGAGCAGAGGGAAAAGGAGCAAUCCGCUUUGAGAUGGCCUCGCGUCCGAUUAGCUAGUUGGUGAGGUAAUGGCCCACCAAGGCGACGAUCGGUAGCCGGACUGAGAGGUUGAACGGCCACAUUGGGACUGAGACACGGCCCAGACUCCUACGGGAGGCAGCAGUGGGGAAUAUUGCACAAUGGGGGAAACCCUGAUGCAGCGACGCCGCGUGGAGGAAGAAGGUCUUCGGAUUGUAAACUCCUGUUGUUGAGGAAGAUGAUGACGGUACUCAACAAGGAAGUGACGGCUAACUACGUG